rnacentral:tRNA from 1 species
GCCGCCAUAGCUCAGUCGGUUAGAGCGUGGGUCUAAUAAGCCCAAGGUCGCAGGUUCGACCCCUCCUGGCGGCA